rnacentral:sRNA from 1 species
ACUUCGAGGGCGAAUGCCACGGACCGCCGGAGGCCUUGGUCCGCUGCAACGACGAUAAUGG